GAAGCACCUGAGGUCACAUUAAAUAAGAAAAGAACAAGAACUAGACAAAAUGUAUCUGAAGAAUUGAUUCUGGGAAGCAAAGACGAACCUGUCAGAACAAGAUCAACAUUUAAGGGAUAUGAAAAAACGCUUAUGGGACUAGUAUUUCUGAUAGAGCCAACACCUGUGAAGAAGCACUUCAAGACAAAUAAUGGGUUCUGGAAAUGAAAGAAGAACUUGAUCAAUUUGCAAAGAACGAUUUCUGGGAUCUUGUACCAAAACCCAAGGGAAC
rnacentral:lncRNA from 1 species